rnacentral:rRNA from 1 species
CGGAGUGGAUAGCACCUGUGACUCCAACGAUGAACCACGUUCGGUGGGGAUUAGGGGCAAUCCGGUGAGUAACACGUGGGCAAUCUGCCCUUCACUCUGGGACAAGCCCUGGAAACGGGGUCUAAUACCGGAUACCACUUCCGCAGGCAUCUGCGGGGGUUGAAAGCUCCGGCGGUGAAGGAUGAGCCCGCGGCCUAUCAGCUUGUUGGUGAGGUAAUGGCUCACCAAGGCGACGACGGGUAGCCGGCCUGAGAGGGCGACCGGCCACACUGGGACUGAGACACGGCCCAGACUCCUACGGGAGGCAGCAGUGGGGAAUAUUGCACAAUGGGCGAAAGCCUGAUGCAGCGACGCCGCGUGAGGGAUGACGGCCUUCGGGUUGUAAACCUCUUUCAGCAGGGAAGAAGCGAAAGUGACGGUACCUGCAGAAGAAGCGCCGGCUAACUACGUGCCAGCAGCCGCGGUAAUACGUAGGGCGCAAGCGUUGUCCGGAAUUAUUGGGCGUAAAGAGCUCGUAGGCGGUCUGUCACGUCGGAUGUGAAAGCCCGGGGCUUAACCCCGGGUCUGCAUUCGAUACGGGCAGACUAGAGUGUGGUAGGGGAGAUCGGAAUUCCUGGUGUAGCGGUGAAAUGCGCAGAUAUCAGGAGGAACACCGGUGGCGAAGGCGGAUCUCUGGGCCAUUACUGACGCUGAGGAGCGAAAGCGUGGGGAGCGAACAGGAUUAGAUACCCUGGUAGUCCACGCCGUAAACGGUGGGAACUAGGUGUUGGCGACAUUCCACGUCGUCGGUGCCGCAGCUAACGCAUUAAGUUCCCCGCCUGGGGAGUACGGCCGCAAGGCUAAAACUCAAAGGAAUUGACGGGGGCCCGCACAAGCAGCGGAGCAUGUGGCUUAAUUCGACGCAACGCGAAGAACCUUACCAAGGCUUGACAUACACCGGAAACGGCCAGAGAUGGUCGCCCCCUUGUGGUCGGUGUACAGGUGGUGCAUGGCUGUCGUCAGCUCGUGUCGUGAGAUGUUGGGUUAAGUCCCGCAACGAGCGCAACCCUUGUUCUGUGUUGCCAGCAUGCCCUUCGGGGUGAUGGGGACUCACAGGAGACUGCCGGGGUCAACUCGGAGGAAGGUGGGGACGACGUCAAGUCAUCAUGCCCCUUAUGUCUUGGGCUGCACACGUGCUACAAUGGCCGGUACAAAGAGCUGCGAAACCGUGAGGUGGAGCGAAUCUCAAAAAGCCGGUCUCAGUUAGGAUUGGGGUCUGCAACUCGACCCCAUGAAGUCGGAGUUGCUAGUAAUCGCAGAUCAGCAUCAGGAACGAAAAUAUGUUCCCGGGCCUUGUGCAACCCGCCCGUGUCGACGCGAAAGUCAGUCACACCUUAAGCCGGUGGCCCAAUCACUUUCAGGAGGGAGCUCACGAAGGUGG